rnacentral:rRNA from 1 species
UACGAGGGGGGCAAAUGUUGUUCGGAAUCACUGGGCGUAAAGGGAGCGUAGGCGGGUUUCUAAGUCAGGUGUUUAAUCCCGGGGCCCAACCCCGGACAGGCACUUGAAACUGGAAAUCUUGAAUAGUGGAGAGGUCAGUGGAAUUGGGGGUGUAGCGGUGGAAUGCGUAGAGAUCCCCAAGAACACCAGUUGCGAAGGCGGCUGACUGGACACAUAUUGAGCGCUGAGGCUCGAAAGCAUGGGGAGCAAACAGG